rnacentral:rRNA from 1 species
AGUGAACGCUGGCGGUAGGCCUAACACAUGCAAGUCGAACGGCGGCACAGUAAGAGCUUGCUCUUACGGGUGGCGAGUGGCGGACGGGUGAGGAAUACAUCGGAAUCUACUUUUUCGUGGGGGAUAACGUAGGGAAACUUACGCUAAUACCGCAUACGACCUACGGGUGAAAGCAGGGGAUCUUCGGACCUUGCGCGAUUGAAUGAGCCGAUGUCGGAUUAGCUAGUUGGCGGGGUAAAGGCCCACCAAGGCGACGAUCCGUCGCUGGUCUGAGAGGAUGAUCAGCCACACUGGAACUGAGACACGGUCCAGACUCCUACGGGAGGCAGCAGUGGGGAAUAUUGGACAAUGGGCGCAAGCCUGAUCCAGCCAUACCGCGUGGGUGAAGAAGGCCUUCGGGUUGUAAAGCCCUUUUGUUGGGAAAGAAAAGCAGCAGGUUAAUACCCCGCUGUUCUGACGGUACCCAAAGAAUAAGCACCGGCUAACUUCGUG